rnacentral:rRNA from 3 species
UUUGUGGAGAGUUUGAUCCUGGCUCAGGAUGAACGCUGGCGGCGUGCUUAACACAUGCAAGUCGAACGGAAAGGCUAGUGCUUGCACUGGUACUCGAGUGGCGAACGGGUGAGUAACACGUGGGUGAUCUGCCUUGUACUCUGGGAUAAGCCUGGGAAACUGGGUCUAAUACUGGAUAGGACUGCACUGUAGGGGUGUGGUGGAAAGCUUUUGCGGUAUGAGAUGAGCCUGCGGCCUAUCAGCUUGUUGGUGGGGUAAUGGCCUACCAAGGCGGCGACGGGUAGCCGGCCUGAGAGGGUGUACGGCCACAUUGGGACUGAGAUACGGCCCAGACUCCUACGGGAGGCAGCAGUGGGGAAUAUUGCACAAUGGGCGCAAGCCUGAUGCAGCGACGCCGCGUGGGGGAUGACGGCCUUCGGGUUGUAAACUCCUUUUGCCGCUGACGAAGCCCUUUUGGGGUGACGGUAGGUGGAGAAGAAGCACCGGCUAACUACGUGCCAGCAGCCGCGGUAAUACGUAGGGUGCGAGCGUUGUCCGGAAUUACUGGGCGUAAAGGGCUCGUAGGUGGUUUGUCGCGUCGUCUGUGGAAUUCCGGGGCUUAACUUCGGAUGUGCAGGCGAUACGGGCAAUACUUGAGUGCUGUAGGGGAGACUGGAAUUCCUGGUGUAGCGGUGAAAUGCGCAGAUAUCAGGAGGAACACCGAUGGCGAAGGCAGGUCUCUGGGCAGUGACUGACGCUGAGGAGCGAAAGCAUGGGUAGCGAACAGGAUUAGAUACCCUGGUAGUCCAUGCCGUAAACGGUGGGCGCUAGGUGUGAGGGGCUUUCACGUUUCUCGUGCCGUAGCUAACGCAUUAAGCGCCCCGCCUGGGGAGUACGGCCGCAAGGCUAAAACUCAAAGGAAUUGACGGGGGCCCGCACAAGCGGCGGAGCAUGUGGAUUAAUUCGAUGCAACGCGAAGAACCUUACCUGGGCUUGACAUGCACUGGAUCGCUGCAGAGAUGUAGUUUCUCUUUGGAGUCGGUGUACAGGUGGUGCAUGGUUGUCGUCAGCUCGUGUCGUGAGAUGUUGGGUUAAGUCCCGCAACGAGCGCAACCCUUGUCUUAUGUUGCCAGCAUUUGGUUGGGGACUCAUGAGAGACUGCCGGGGUUAACUCGGAGGAAGGUGGGGAUGACGUCAAAUCAUCAUGCCCCUUAUGUCCAGGGCUUCACACAUGCUACAAUGGUCGGUACAACGGGUGGCGAUGCCGUGAGGUUGAGCUAAUCCUUUAAAGUCGGCCUUAGUUCGGAUUGGGGUCUGCAACUCGAGCCCAUGAAGUCGGAGUCGCUAGUAAUCGUAGAUCAGCAAUGCUGCGGUGAAUACGUUCCCGGGCCUUGUACACACCGCCCGUCACGUCAUGAAAGUUGGUAACACCCGAAGCCCACGGCCUAAACCUUUUUGGUGGGGAGUGGUCGAAGGUGGGAUCGGCAAUUGGGACGAAGUCGUAACAAGGUAGCCGUACCGGAAGGUGCGGCUGGAUCACCUCCUUUCUAAGGAG